rnacentral:rRNA from 1 species
AUUGAACGCUGGCGGCAGGCCUAACACAUGCAAGUCGAACGGGUGGCGGAGUGGUGGGUAAUGUCUGGGCAACUGCGUGAUGGAGGCGGCUAAGUAGUGUAAACGUUGGCUAAUACUGCAUACCGUCGGAUCUGCCCAGGCGGGAUUAGCUAGUGGGUGGGGUAACGGCUCACCAAGGCGACGAUCCCUAGCUGGUCUGAGAGGAUGACCAGCCACACUGGAACUGAGACACGGUCCAGACUCCUACGGGAGGCAGCAGUGGGGAAUAUUGCACAAUGGGCGCAAGCCUGACGCAGCCAUGCCGCGUGUAUGAAGAAGGCCUUCGGGUUGUAAAGCACUUUUAUCGGGGAGGCGUUACCCGCACAAGAAGCACCGGCUAACUCCGUGCCAGCAGCCGCGGUAAUUC